rnacentral:lncRNA from 1 species
AAUAAGAUGCGGGAAGCGAAUGAAAAAUGAUUUCCAAUAAAUAAUAUAUUAAACACUAACUGAUAAAAAAAUUUCAAAGACUUUCACAGCCACUCUCAUAUAUAUAUUUUGAAAAGAAAAAAGAAACUAAUAAUCCGGUCAACAUAGCAGUUCAACAGCAAUGCUUAAAAAAUACCUGAAAGACAAAAUAUUAAAGUAGAAACCAUAUACUACUGAAAAAUACCUUAUUCAUAGUAGAGGAGAUUUUAUUGAUCAUCCAAAGACACUCACAAGCUUGAAAUCUGGAGAUUUGGAGAAGCAAAGUUUAGGAAUUCAUGAUCUUUUUGUAGUGCAGACAUUCUGGUUUCAUCUAAGGUUAUCCAAGCUUCUAUUCCUUUCCCACAUUUGGUUUCAAGGAGAAUAGUUAAGUUUCCAAAUUGCCCUGUUUUUCCCAGUAUUGCCCAUGAACAAGGUUGCCCCCGUCCGAAAUCUAGUUUGUGAAAAUCAGUAUUGAGCCAGCUGGUGAAGGCGAAAAUAUCAGGUUUUUCAAAGGAAAACAACAGCUCCAGCUGGUUCAAGUGCUCAGCGAUGGCUUCAAACCCUUGUUCACCUUGGAUGGAUCUCACGUAUUCGCCGUCGAUAACAGCAAUGGAUUGACUCAUCAACUCGACCAAUGUGGAUAACUCGGUGCCUGUCUCGGCUGGAUUCGAGAGUGCACUCGCCAACCAAAACACAUUCCCAAUCGAACCAUCUAAUGUCGUAAGCUUCCCUUUUGACCUCAUGUUCACCGCUUGGACUACAAUGGAUGGUUUCAAGGUUCCUUGUAUCGCCCUGGAUGCCGCCAUUGAACAUUUCCAGAUGAAACUCGAGACAGCUACGGUUCGUGUCGGUGUAGUCACGACUUCCCCUUUUGCCAUGUCCUUUAGGAUGGCUACUGCUUCCUCAUUAAACACAAAUUUCCGUGUAACAAAAUUACCUUUGGUGAACCAUAAGUUUUCCAUCAUGGAUAUGUAAUUCUUGGGCAUUGGAUUUUUAGGUGGAAAGAUCAAGGAGGCCUUAGAUAAGGCAGGAAAUUUAAUUCCAGGGUGGUAUCCUUGGCAGAUUGUUCUCCAAACAAAGGUGAAAAUGAAGCCUGUUUUGGCGUCAGUGAUUUUAUGUGAGGCGCAGAUGCCUAAAGCUACUCCCCCACAUGCAAACAUGGUGACUUGACAAACCAAGAGAGGACCCUGAUGAUUUGAUUCCUUGUAGAAAGGAGGGCAUGGGAGCAAGUUGUUCAAGGUCUCAAUUUGAUGAUGCCUGAGAAACUCGGAUAAUCGACAACCGAUUCGAGCCGAUAAAAACGGAACACCGGCGUCGAAAUCAUGGAUGAACAUGUUACUAAAGAUUCUCCCAGAGAAGGGAUAUAAGAUGUUUAGGGUUUCUGAAAGAGAUUUCUUCAGCUGAGUCAAAAUAUUGGAGGUGUUGGUAUCACUCGGGGGAUAAAAUAAUAUGAUUGGAACAUAAGUGGUGGGAGUUAGCUGAUCAAAUACACAGAGUUUGAAGGGUUCUUUUAGAUGAAUUUCUGGGGAAGAUGGUUUGAUGAUUUCUUUUGAAAGAAUCUGAGCCUCAAACUUCAUCAUUUCUUUGUUUUUUUUCCCUCACCAAUAUGUUUACACAAACUCUAUAGGAAGGAGAAAAAUAUAUAAACUAUUGGAGAUCAAAGCCUCCACUAUAAGAUCUUCUAGUUUUGGCUAAACUACUAUAAAAGCCCUUCACUUAGUUUACCUUUGUUAAAGCCCUUCACUAUAAGAUCUCCAAUAAAUCUGCCAAAAAUAUUGUUAAUAAUAGUAAACAAUUGUAUUAAACAUGGAUAAUAAGUGUAGAUAGUAACAUAUUUUGAUGAAUUACCCAAAAAUUCUAUUUUUUUCGAAAAAAUAUAUCGGAUUAGACCGGUUUUUUUUAAUUUAUCGGAUUAAGCUGAUUUUGGAGAGAGUGUGGAUUUGGCAGGAAAGUGCUUCUAGCUAGAUGCACUUUCCUGCUCAGUCAACAAAGCACAUCUAGCUAGACGCAUUUUCCCUAAUGGCUACCCACUCAGCGGUCGAAUUCUAAUGGCUCCCCCCUAACAGUAACUCUUUUCCCCUAUUUAAACCCCAAAUUUCCCACUUUUUCAAUUCACUCUCUACUCUCUCAAUUCAUUCUCAAUCCUCUCUUAAUUCUCACUCAAUUCUCUCAGUUCACUCUCAUUUUUUAUUAAAAUUGUAUUAAGGUUUUUUAAUUUUUUUGUAUUACAAUUUUUAUUUGUAUUUAUUGAAAUUAUUAAUGACAAAUUCUCUUAUUCGUUUAGAUGACAAGCACAUUUCGACCGUUCAAUUGCAAAUGGUAAGAAUUUUUUUAUUACUUUUAAUCUAAUCUAAUUUAAUUAUUUUGUUGUUAUAUUGAAAUUUAAGAUUUUGUAUUUUUUUUUAUAAUUAGCUAGAAGAUCGGAUUUUGGAGACGUACAUUCGCAAUCUAUCUACUCCUUUAUCGUUUUUAAUCGAACCAUACUUGUGAGAUGCAAGAUUUUUGCACAUCGCCCGUAUGGGUAAGGGGUGCAAAUUGGAACUCGAACUUGUAAGCGUGUUGGUGGAAAGAUGGUUAAAGUCUUAUUGGUUUGAGAUGUGAAAUUGGACUUAUAUUUUGUGAUGUUUUCACUUAGGUCUUAAGAUCAACUAUACUUUGUUAAAUGACAAGAUGAAACUAAAAAGGUAUGAGCUUGUAGGAUUCUGCCUACAAGGUCGCGACACUAGCUUUCAACAUUACUACGUCCUUUGUUUGAGGUCGCAACGUUAACUCAUUGUUUUCAAAGUCGCGACAUUGCACCAUCAAAGUCAUGACACCAUGUUUCUGCCAUUGAUGACGUGACGUGAAACCUUCAUGGUGGCGACGCCAACUCGAUAAAACUUGAUAACUUUGCAUUUUGGUCCUCAUAUGGUCUCGGGUUAUCAUAGGAGCUUUCAUAAGCUUGUAUAAACCCAAAUAUGAGUUGGAAGAAUGUUUUAUUGAUGUUUUAUCUGAAAUAACUUAUAUAAAAAAUGUCCUUUUUUGAAAGAACAAUUUUGUAUGUUGAUAUGUGAGGGUGAGUUACAAUAUAAAUGCAAGAGGUAGAAAAGAAAAAUGAAUGCUCUUAUUAUAGCUCCUAGUUGUUUACAUUGAUUUCACUCUUUAGUAAUUGUGCUUACUUCAAGAAGGAAAAAAUAAUGCUCAUAGCCUACACUUUGCACCCUUUUCUUUGAAUUAUUAUUAGCUUAAAUUGUCUAGUCACCUAUUUUAAGAAGUUAUUUAAUUUAAUAAUUUUCGAUAGCUUAAUUGCAAUUAGUGAUGUUUAUGAAUUGGGUUGGGUCGGAUUUGGGUCGAACUCAUGCAACGUAUUUAAAUCAAUUCUCUAAGUUCGGGACCGACUCAGUCCAGAAAAUGGACUUACUUUUUUGUUCAAACUCGAUCCGAUUUAAGAAAAGUAAAUCUGUGCUUGACCCACCCAUAUUUAAAAUCUAGUUGGAUUUUAAUAUAAGUGUUGAAUGCAUGUGUUUGAUUUAUAUAAUUAUAUAUUUUUUCAUAUUCAUAUUCAAAUUUUUAGUAGAUGAGCUGGGGCGUCACCUCAUCCUGUAUUUCUUUCCAAUUAUUUAAUGACACUUCAACAAUUCUUUUCACGUCAUUGAUACAUAAUUUUGGUAAUUUUUUAAACCCCUAAACCUUGAAUUUUGAACCCAAAACCCCAAACCCCAACUCAAACCCCAACCCUAAAUCUUAAACACUGACCUCUAAACUUGACCAAUUAAUUAAAAGUUGUAAUUUCCCAUUGAUAAGGGUUAUAAGUUGAAUUAAUUAUUCUAAGUUAUUUGAAUGGUUUAAUUAAAUGAAAAUUAUUAUUUAGAUCAAUAAACAAACCAAACAAAUCUAAACUGAGAAAAAGCUAAAAUGUUGGAUUAGUCGUCGGCUUCGUUUUUACAAUUGUUUUUGUCGAGGUAAGUUCAUAUAAAGAUUUAAAUUCAUUAAUUGAUGUUCUGAAUGUAGUUUUGAUAAAUAUUAUACUAUGUAUAGAUUAGAUUGAUAGUUAUUUGAUGUUUUGGUAUUUCAGAUAUAAUCAUAAUGAUAGCUAAAUUGAAUGUUAUAAUUGAAAAAUGUACAUUUCAUGCUCACGUGGCAAAUAUAAAAAAAUCCAUAUUUUUUAAAUUUAAAAGAAAUAAAAUGUGCAUUUUAAUUACAUUAAUUAAAAUUAAAAUUUUAUGUUGUUGAUUUGGAACUACGUAGCAAAUUGUUAAAAAUCUUUAUUGAUUUAAAAAAAAUUAAAAAAAUUAUAGAUUUUUUAAAGUUUUUUAACACUUGAUAAUUUUAUUUAUUUUUAGAUUUUUUUAAUUUUUUGAAGUUUUUUUUUUAAAUUUUGUACUCUUCUAAAAUGAAUUUGUACAACUGUUUGUGCAAAUUUAUUUGAAUAUGAAGAACUUAUUGUUUAGAUUCAUUCUAUAUGCAUAUUUUAUUUUAUUUUUUAAAAAGAUUUUAUAUUUUCAAAAAAUAAUUAUUCAAAAUAAAAAAAAAUAUUUUUUUUGCUGACUAGGCAUGCUAGGUUAGCAUACUACCACAUGGCAAAUUUUAGUGGUUUUUGUCAACCAUGUUAAUGGUUAAAUCAGUCAAGUGACAGUUUCUGUUAAUGAAAGGAACCAAUAAAUUUUUUUAUUUUUUAUUGAGAUUUUUUUUUGACCCUUGGCAAAAGAAAAUUACUUGUGCUAAUUGUAAGAAUUGACAUAAGUAACUUUAAGGACUAAUAUGAUAAUAAAAAAAAAGUUAAAUACGUCAUGUAAGUAUUUAUUAUCCAAAUAAUUUCCAUAUCUAUUUAUUAAUUAAAAUAUUCUAUAAUCCCAUAACCAAUUAACCAAUUAACCGACCUUAGCUAAGUUGGUAGAGCGGAGGACUGUAGUAGAAUAUCCAAACAGCCAUCCUUAGGUCGCUGGUUCGAAUCCGGCAGGUCGGAUAUUGCCCUUUUUUUUUUUUUUACAAUUUAUUUAAAAGAAUAGGUUAAAUUUUGCUUUUAGUCCCUAUACUUUACUUGGUACUUUUUCAAAUUUUAAAGUUGCUUUGCAUCACUUUUUCACCUUAUUAAGAGAAUAGGUUAAAUUCUACUAUUAGUCCUGAUCAAAUUGUAACUGUUAAAUAAAUUAGUUUUUGUUAUUUCUAAAAUUUGAAAUGAGAAAUACAUUAUCACAUAUCUAUUAUUUCCAAAGAUGAUAUCAGUUUAAUUCAAUCAAACUUUUUUAGAAUUUUCGAACCAUCCAUCAUACUUUAAUUUAGUAAAUGAAUCAUAAUAAAAUGAUAAAAAUAAAUCAUAUUUAUAAUUAAAUAUUUAUUAAGAAAUGAUAAAAAUUUAUAUAAUUUUUUUUAUAAAAGAUGUAUUCAAUAAAUGAAUACUUAUGUAAAUUCUUAUCAAUUUCGGUUUCAAUCUUUAUUUAAAAAUACUAUUUUUGUAAUUGUUUUAUUUAAAAUUUUGAAUAAAAAUAAUAAAAGAUAAAAGAUACUAUUUUUAAAUUAAAAUUUACAAUAUAUCAAUUUUUUUAUAUAUUUUUUACAAAUUCUUUAAUAAUGAUUAGAAUUUUUUUAUCACUAUAUUUCAAAUAUCAAAAUAAUUUAUAUCUAUUUAUUAUUUAAUUAAUUAUUAUUUUGAAUAAUGUUACUUUACAUUAAUCACAACAUGAUAAAAUGCUUUAAUUAUGAUUUGAAUUUUUUAUUAUAAUAUUUGAAUGAUUAAAUAAGUUAAUGUAUUUUAAUUAUAUUCAACCAUUCAAAUAAAGCAUAUUAUUGAACCUCAUGUGAUGGCUUGAUGGUCAAAGGUGUUCAUUGUCCUAGGUGUGACUUGAGUUCAAGUCGCGUUGGUUGUUUGGGCUUUACCUUGCUAUUGUAAUUCACAAAAAAAGGAAUAUUAUUUUAAACUAAUUAUGAUAAUUAUAAAAAAAUAUUUAAAAAAUUAAUUAAAAAUUAAACACAUAAAAUCACAUUGUAAUUAUAAAAAUUAAUUUGCAAAAAAAAAAAAAAAACUGUUGUUUUGCUGCCAUUUCACUGUUAUGUUGUUAUUGUUUGCAUAUUGUAUAAUUCUUGUUUUAUUGUUAAUUUAUUACUAUUUUAGAGGCAUUUGUUUGUUAAGUUACACCUAUCUUAGUGUUAUUUAAGUAUAAAAACAUUUUUAAAUUUAUUUUCAGUUUGUUGAGAAAUAUUUAUUUUACUGUUUUUAGUAUCUUUCAUGUUUUUUUUUUAAAAAUUAACAUAGACCGAAUUAGGUUCGGGUUUAACAUCUAUAAAACGAACCUAAAAUUUUGUUAGGACCGACUUGAACCCGACCCGACACAGGUAUAGUUUAAACCCUUGAAACAUCAUUUUCUCCGAUGUGGAGUCAUAGUUUAAAAUGUCCUCACACAGCUGCACCAAAAUGGCAUGGUGGAGUGGACACAUGCCUUUCUUCUACAAGCCUUCGUGCCUCUGAUGUUUUGGAAAGAUGCGCUUUAUUCUACGACCUUUAUAAUCAAAAUACUUACUUCAAAGGCUAUUCAUCACAGGAACUCCUCAUGAAAUGGUCUUUGGAAGCAAGCUAGAUUAUGGUUAUCUAAAGGUCUUUGGCUGUAAGUGUUUUCCUUACCUUAUACCUUUCAAUAAAAAUAAACUUGAAUCUCAUUCAAUGCCUUGAACAUGCCUUGGUUAUUGUUCAAAUCACAAAGGUUACAAGUGUCUUACAGAUGAUGGGAGGGCCGAUAUGGUAUUACGUGAAUCAAUAAAUUCGAUACGGGUAUGAGUAAUGGUAUGAAUCGAAAAGGAAAUGAAUAUGUUCUUAGUAGUAGAAACUAUGGUAUUAUUUGGUUAUAUUAAAUUGUUGAAUGCAAUAUUUGUAUGAAUUGAUAUACAAAGCUAUUAUGCAUAUAUCAUAUCUUAAUGAAAUGUGUAUUGGCUAAAGGCUGAAUUGGAAUUGAUUGUGCAUAAUCUCGGUUUUGAUAUAUGCAUGUUAAUAGUUUUGGUUGAAUUAACUUGAAUCAUAAAAGUAUUGUUGAGCUUUAUCACUUAGCGUAUGGUUUGUUUAUUCCAUGUGCAGAUAUCCAUAAAUCUUGAAGCCUCGAGAGGUGAAACAAUGUCCAAAUUGUUGAUUCUGGACUCAGAAAUGUUUGCACAAUUCUCACAUUUCAAUAGAUGACAUGUACCUAAAAUUGGACCGAUUUUUAGGUUAUAAAUGGUCAAAUUAGUGUAAUUGAAUAAUGUAUGGAAAUGAAUAGUUCAUGAAAUUGGACCUAUAUAUUGUGAUGUUUGUCAUUUAGGUCUUAAGAUCAGCUAUACUUUGUUAAAUGGCAAGUUGAAAUUACAGAGUUAUGAGCUUGUAGGAUAUUCAGCCUACAAGGUCGUGACACCAGCUUUCAACGUCACGGCGUCUCCUGUUUAAGGUCACGAUGUCAACUCCCUGUUUUCAUUGCGACAUUGCACCAUCAGAGUCGCGACACCAUGUUUUUGCCAUUGAUGUCGUGACGUGAAACCUUCAUGGUGGCGGCGCCAACUCGAUAAAAUUUAAAAACUUUACAUUUUGGUCAUCAUGUGAUCUCAGAUUAUCAUAGGAGCUUUCGUAAGCUCUUAUAACCCCGGAUAUGAGUUGAAAUAAUGUUUUAUUGAUGUUUUAUCUGAAAUAACUUGUAUAAAUUAUUGAAUGGAUCGAUAUUGUAUUCCUAGUUACUUUGACAAUGAAUGUGACAUCCCGUAACUCGGACCCGACGAUCAGGUCGGAUAUAGGGUGUUACAGAUUCUUUAAAAGAAAUUAGUUUUAGAUGUAUUUGAUGAUAAAAUUAAAUCAACUAGAUUGAUAUGACAGUUUUAUUAUUUUAAAAAUUAUAUUAAAAAUGUAUUUUUGAUAUUUAAAUUAAAAUGAAAAUAUUUUUAUUAAUAAAUAUUAAUUGUAUAGGUCAAAUUUUGCUAUUGACCCUAUAUUUUGCAUAAGUUGUAAAUUUAAUACCAAUAAUUUAAUUUCGUUAUUUUCAGUCUCUAUGCUUUUAGAAUUUGAAAAUUUCAGUCCAGUAAUUAUAAAAUUCAUUAAGUUCUGUUAUUUUCAAAAUCUGAUAAGUCAAAUAUAUUAUCGCAUGUGUAAUGUUAUGUCAGCUUGUUAGUCUCAUAUAUUACUCACAAAAAAUUCAGUUAAUAGAUUUAAUGAGUGUUGUUUACAUUAAGACUAAAAUUUCGAAAUUAAAAGGAAUAUAAUGACUAAAAUUGAUCCAAUUGGAGAAUAUAAACCAAAUCUAUGACUUUACGAUUCAUACAUGAUUAAUAGCAUAAUUUAACUAAACAAAUUUGACUGUUACCAUUUGAUUAGGACUAAAAUUAAUCAAAUUAAAGCGCAAAUAUUAAUUUCAUAACUUAUAUAAAAGUACAUGGACUAAUAACAAAAUGUAACCAAUUUUAAUGUCCUUUUUUGAAAGAAUAAUUUUUUAUGUUGAUAUGUCAGGUAGAGGUGCUCAUGGGCCGGGCCCGGCCGGGUUCGGGCCAAGCCCAUAAAAAAUUUCGGCCCGGCCCGAAAUAUGGGCCUGAAAUUUUGUCCAGGCCCAGGCCCGGCCCGGGAAAAAAAUCAUAAGCCCGGGCCCAGCCCGGCCCAUUUUUUAAAUAAAUACCAAAAAAUUAUUUUAAAAAUUAAAAAAAGUAUUUUAAAAUACUUUUUAAAAUUUUAUAUUUUAAAAUUAAAAAAAUUUUAAAAAUAUUUUAAAAAUAUUUUAAAAUUAAAAAAUAAUAAAAAAGUAUUUUAAAAUUAAAAAAUUUAAAAAAUAAAUAUAUUUAUUAUAUCGGGCCGGGUCGGGCCCGGGCCAAAAAACUGGUGCCCGAGGCUGGGCCCGUUUUCUAAACGGGCCUAGUUUUUUUGCCCAAUCCCAUAUUUCGGGCCUAUAUUUUUACCCAAACCCUCCCAUAUUUCGGGCGGACCGUCGGGUAAUGUCAGGGUGAGUUACAAUAUAAAUGCAAGAGGUAGAUAGGGGUGAACAAAAUUCGAUUCUAUUCGAUUCGAAAAACUCGAUAAAAAAACUAAAUUUUGAAUUAACUAGUUUGAGUUAUUCGGAUCAACUCGAAUAAAAAAAUUAAAAUUUCCGGUUUAACUCGAAUAUGAAUUACACAAUUCGAGUAAACAGAAAAUCUAAAUAAGAAAAGACAAAACCACGUCGUUUUGGUAAAUGUUUAUCUUUUCUAAAGUUAAAAGUCAAAACCAUUAAAUUAAAAGGCAAAACUAUUUUGUUUUGAUAAAUGUUUACCAAUCAGUCUUACUUAUGUAAUUAAAUAAUCUUGUACUUCGUCUACUAGUUAAAUAAUCAAUCCAUAUAAACACAAUAUUGAGUAUAAAUAAUGUGAUUCGUUAACUCGACUUCAAAUUUUUUCGAUUCGAAAACUAUUCAAAUUAAUUUAAUUACCAAAAAAAAUUCGUCAACUCAAUUAAUUUAAAAUUUUUUAAGUCGAUUUUACUCGACGUGACUCAACGCUGAACGGUCAGAUUGUUUAAAUUGAAUUCACUCAGUAGUAACUGUGCUUACCUACUUGCCACUUGGACGACAGACUUUCGACCAACUUAUUUAUGUGUAUUUAAUUUUCUGCAGUUUGUGUUCAAAUUAAAGCGUACUUCAAAAAUGAAAAAUUUAAUGCUCCUAGCCUUAGCUUUUUCUUUGAAUUAUUAUUAUUAUUAUACUUAAUUAAAUAACUCUUGUUAGCUUAAUUACAAUUAGAGAUAUUCAUGUAUUGGGUCGAGUUAAGUUUGGAUUAAGCGCAAAUAAAGUAUUUAGAUUACUUCUUUAAGUUCGGGUUCAGCUCAAUCCAAAAAAUAAGUUUAUUUUUUAUCCAAACCUUUAAAAAAAAAACUCGAAUCUAACCCGAUCAUAUUUAAGUUUUUUAAAUUAAUUUUUAUUUAAAAAUAGUUUUUUUUACUUUUAUUUAUUUUUUAUCCCUCUAAAAUAAUUUUUUUAACUUCGUCCUUAGUGUUGGAUAUAAAUAUAAAAGAAUAACCAUAAUUGAUGCUUUGAAUGUGUUCUCCAUUCAUGUAUUUAAACUGGUUUUUUUGGUAAAAAAAUAUUUUUUAACAGGUAUGAUUUGAUAAUAUUAAAAUCUAGCUUCCAAAUGAUUAGAAUCAGAAUUUCACUGUUGAGAUUUUUUAAGAAAUUGACUCUUAAAUGUACUAUUUUUUUCCUUUGAAAAGACAGUAUAAAUAGGAGAUUAUUCCUUAAACUUCUCCCAUUAUUUUAUUCUUGGUGUUUUGCGGAAUUACACGAGAGAGAAAUUUUGUUAGGAGAUUGGGUUUUAAACCAGACCGUCUGUGAACCCUCUAAUCUUUCAUGGGAAUUGAACCUAGUCUGGUUUCGUUGGUUUUCUUUUAGCUUAUUUUUCGAUCAUAUUUUCAACCAACUGCUUUUGUUUUUUUCAAUUUUGAUUCCUUUAUUAGAAGAGCAAUAUCAAUUAUGUUCCACAUUCUUUAUCCGGGUAUAUAGAUAUUGAAAUACUGUGUUAACCUUGGGGCGACGUCCACUAUACGAUUACACAGAUCAGAACAAAUUUGCUUUUAAGACAGUGAUUCUUCCACAGCACGAUGAUUGCUCUAUUUAUUUAGACUCAGCUUGAUUUCCUAUUAGCGCUAAACAGUUUUAUUUUAUAGUAGUAUAUUUUUAACAUUAAUAACAUGAAAACAUUACUGAAAUAUCAUUAAGAUGAGGCAAUUAUUUCUAAUGAAAAUGAUUUCCAAUAAAUAAUAUUUUAAACACUAACUGAUAAAAAAAAUUGAAAAGAAAAGAAAAACUAAUAAUCCGGCCAACAUAGCAAUCCAACAGCAAUGCUUAAAAAUACCUGAAAGACGAAAUAUAAAAGUAGAAACCAUAUACUACUGAAAAUACCUUAUUCAUAGUAGAGGAGAUUUUAUUGAUCAUCAAAGUGUUUCCAGAGACGCUUACAAGCUUGAAAUCUGGGGACUUGGAGAAGCAAAGUUUAGGAAUUCAUGAUCUUUUUGUAGUGCAGACAUUUUGGUUUCAUCUAAGGUUAUCCAAGCUUCUAUUCCUUUCCCAUAUUUGGUUUCAACGAGAACAGUGAAGUUUCUAAAUUCAGGCCCUGCUUUUCCCAGUAUUGCAAAUGAACAAGGUUGCCCCCAUCCGAAAUCUAGUUUGUGAAAAUCAGUAUUGAUCCAGCUGGUGAAGGCGAAAAUAUCAGGUUUUUCAAAGGAAAACAACAGCUCCAGCUGGUUCAAGUGCUCAGCGAUGGCUUCAAACCCUUGUUCACCUUGGAUUGAUCUCAUGUAUUCGUCGUCGA